CUUUCUACACAGGUUGGGAUUGGUUGCAAUGCUGUCUAUGUGUAUGUGGUAUUGCACUUGUCCCGGCCUGUUGAGGUUGG
rnacentral:pre_miRNA from 11 species